GCGUCCCUGGCUCAGUGGUCAACAGCGUCAUCACCCUGAGACCAAAACCGGCAAUCACGGGACUGGGGUUCGAUUCCCUAGGGAGGCA